GCCUUAAUGCCUCCCAGCCAGCAUGGUGGAUAUGACCCUCGAUUUUUAAUCGAGUGGGUUCGGGUACGAAUCCCGAGUAAGGCA